CGUAGGGGGCAAGCGUUGUCCGGAAUUAUUGGGCGUAAAGAGCGUGUAGGCGGUCCGGUAAGUCGGCUGUGAAAGUCCAGGGCUCAACCCUGGGAUGCCGGUCGAUACUGCCGGACUAGAGUUCGGAAGAGGCGAGUGGAAUUCCCGGUGUAGCGGUGAAAUGCGCAGAUAUCGGGAGGAACACCUAUGGCGAAGGCAGCUCGCUGGGACGUUACUGACGCUGAGACGCGAAAGCGUGGGGAGCAAACAGGAUUAGAUACCCUGGUAGUCCACGCCGUAAACGAUGGGCACUAGGUGUGGGAGGUGUCGACUCCUCCCGUGCCGGAGCUAACGCAUUAAGUGCCCCGCCUGGGGAGUACGGCCGCAAGGCUA
rnacentral:rRNA from 1 species